rnacentral:rRNA from 1 species
GACAGAGGGUGCAAACGUUGCUCGGAAUCACUGGGCGUAAAGGGCGUGUAGGCGGGAAGGAAAGUCGGGCGUGAAAUCCCUGGGCUCAACCCAGGAACUGCACUCGAAACUUCUUUUCUUGAGUGCCGGAGAGGAAAGCGGAAUUCCUGGUGUAGAGGUGAAAUUCGUAGAUAUCGUGAGGAACACCAGAGGCGAAGGCGGCUACCUGGACAAUUGCUGACGCUCAGGCACGAAAGCGUGGGGAGCAAAAGGG